CGCGUGGAUAUCUGCCCUUUAGUGGGGGACAACUUGGAGAAAUCCAAGCUAAUACCGCAUAAUACCUACGGGUGAAAGCGGGGGACCUUUCGGGGCCUCGCGCUGAAGGAUGAGUCCGCGUCUGAUUAGCUAGUUGGUAAGGUAAUGGCUUACCAAGGCGAUGAUCAGUAGCUGGUUUGAGAGGAUGAUCAGCCACACUGGAACUGAGACACGGUCCAGACUCCUACGGGAGGCAGCAGUGGGGAAUUUUGCACAAUGGGGGAAACCCUGAUGCAGCGACGCCGCGUGCGGGAAGAAGGCCUUAGGGUUGUAAACCGCUUUCAAUUGGGAAGAAGAGAUGAGUAUUAAUAAUGCUCUGAUUUGACGGU
rnacentral:rRNA from 1 species